rnacentral:lncRNA from 1 species
UGAUUGUGGUUCUGGAGGCUGCUAAUCAGGUGGCGCAUUUCACGGUUGAUAGGCCCUGGGGAAAGGUCAGCAAGUAAGUGUGCUGAACUGUCCCCUUCCAGCUCACCAACUCCACAGAAGCGGAGUCAGUGCCACCAGAGAAGCAGAAGCAGACUCACAGAGGCUGGAGGAAUGGCUCCGUGGGCGGUCCGAGGCCUCGACCACCCGAGACACUGCAGCCUUGGAGAAUUCCAUCCGACCCUGCAGCUGCAGCUCCACUUCCUCACAGCUGCUGGCGCCCAGUGCCACCACGAAAGCCAAGGCCGGCUCACUGAGAGGGGCUCGAAACUGCACUGGCAUCGGUUCUGGAAGGGACAGAGAAUCCUCAUAGGAAUGAAAGGCCACAGCAGGGACCAUCAACCUUUACCACGUCCCAGAAUAAGCUCCUUCGUAUUC